UACGUAGGGGGCAAGCGUUGUCCGGAAUCAUUGGGCGUAAAGCGCGCGUAGGUGGCCUCGUAAGUCCGCUGUGAAAGUCCAAGGCUCAACCUUGGAAAGCCGGUGGAUACUGUGAGGCUAGAGUACGGAAGAGGCGAGUGGAACUCCGAGUGUAGAGGUGAAAUUCGUAGAUAUUCGGAAGAACACCAGUGGCGAAGGCGGCUCACUGGUCCGGUACUGACGCUGAGGCGCGAAAGCUAGGGGAGCAAACGGG
rnacentral:rRNA from 1 species